UACGUAGGGUGCAGGCGUUACUCGGAAUUACUGGGCGUAAAGCGUGCGCAGGCGGCUCCUUAAGUCAGAUGUGAAAGCCCCGGGCUUAACCUGGGAACUGCGUUUGAAACUGGGGAGCUAGAGUGUAGAAGAGGGGGGUGGAAUUCCAGGUGUAGCAGUGAAAUGCGUAGAUAUCUGGAGGAACACCGAUGGCGAAGGCAGCCCCCUGGGCUAACACUGACGCUCAUGCACGAAAGCGUGGGGAGCAAGCAGG
rnacentral:rRNA from 1 species